AGGACUAACGCUGGCGGCGUGCCUAACACAUGCAAGUCGAGCGGGGGAGCAAUCCCUAGCGGCAGACGGGUGAGUAACACGUAAAUAACGUGCCCUUCAGUUCGGGAUAGCUGGCCGAAAGGCCAGGUAAUACCGGAUGUGAUCCGCGAGAGACAUCUUUCGUGGAAGAAAGCAGUAAUGCGCUGGAUGAGCGGUUUGCGGCCUAUCAGCUAGUUGGUGAGGUAACGGCUCACCAAGGCUUCGACGGGUAGCCGGUCUGAGAGGAUGAUCGGCCACACUGGCACUGAGAUACGGGCCAGACUCCUACGGGAGGCAGCAGUGAGGAAUUUUGCGCAAUGGGCGAAAGCCUGACGCAGCAACGCCGCGUGGAGGAUGAAAUCCCUUGGGAUGUAAACUCCUUUCGAUCGGAAGAUAAUGACGGUACCGGAAGAAGAAGCCCGGCUAACUUCGUGCCAGCAGCCGCGGU
rnacentral:rRNA from 1 species